GACGAACGCUGGCGGCGUGCCUAAUACAUGCAAGUUGAGCGCUGAAGGUUGGUACUUGUACCAACUGGAUGAGCAGCGAACGGGUGAGUAACGCGUGGGGAAUCUGCCUUUGAGCGGGGGACAACAUUUGGAAACGAAUGCUAAUACCGCAUAAAAACUUUAAACACAAGUUUUAAGUUUGAAAGAUGCAAUUGCAUCACUCAAAGAUGAUCCCGCGUUGUAUUAGCUAGUUGGUGAGGUAAAGGCUCACCAAGGCGAUGAUACAUAGCCGACCUGAGAGGUGACGGCCCAAAUGGGGACCGAGACCCGCCCCAAACCCCCACGGGGGGCACCGGAAGGGAAUUUUCGGCAAGGGACGAAAGUCUGACCGGACACCCCGGGGUGGGGAAAGAAGGUUUUCGGAUCGAAAAACUCUUUUGGAAGGAAAGAAGGUUGGGGAGGGUGGAAAGCCCAUAAAGGGACGGAAACUACCAAAAAAGGGGCGGCUAACUACGU
rnacentral:rRNA from 1 species